rnacentral:rRNA from 1 species
UACAGAGGGUGCAAGCGUUAAUCGGAAUUACUGGGCGUAAAGCGUGCGCAGACGGUUGCGUAAGUCAGAUGUGAAAGCCCCGGGCUCAACCUGGGAAUUGCAUUUGAGACUGCGUAGCUAGGGUGCGGAAGAGGGAAGCGGAAUUUCCGGUGUAGCGGUGAAAUGCGUAGAUAUCUGGAGGAACACCGGUGGCGAAGGCGGCAUCCUGGACCGAGAUUGACGCUGAUGCGCGAAAGCCAGGGGAGCAAACGGG